rnacentral:rRNA from 1 species
UACGUAGGGUGCAAGCGUUAAUCGGAAUUACUGGGCGUAAAGCGUGCGCAGGCGGUUAUAUAAGACAGUUGUGAAAUCCCCGGGCUCAACCUGGGGAACUGCAUCUGUGACUGUAUAGCUAGAGUACGGUAGAGGGGGAUGGAAUUCCGCGUGUAGCAGUGAAAUGCGUAGAUAUGCGGAGGAACACCGAUGGCGAAGGCAAUCCCCUGGACCUGUACUGACGCUCAUGCAC